rnacentral:misc_RNA from 1 species
UGAUCUCUCUUCCUUCAGUUGUU